UCCAUAACUUCCAUCACAAAAUACAACAAACAUUUACAUAAUUUUAUACGUAAACAUAUAAGAAAUAUGAAUUGAUAAAAUCGAUAGUGUCGCCUUGAAUUAUAAAUUCGUCAAUGAAGGCUUCUGAUUUAGGAGAAUUCCCAUACGGUCAAUUUAUUUUGGGGUUCAUAGUACAAGCCCCAAUCAGGAUCAAAGAAACAACCCAAAUGAGCCAUCAAUAGCCAAACAAAAGUAAUAAGCUCUCCACCUUUGCUUAGCACCUGCACACGUGCCGUUCCCUUAAUAUGACUUGCAGCAAAGAACAACAUCUCACCCCACACUCCGCUCAUUACCUUCCACUU
rnacentral:lncRNA from 1 species